rnacentral:lncRNA from 13 species
AUUUUUACUACUUGGUACAGCUGGGGAUUUAGUCAUCCAGGAUAGGUGCACAACCAUCUGUGUCAGCUCACUCUGGUGCCUUCCUGUCUCUAUGGGAACAACCUCUGGGUGAGGGAGAAAAGAGCUUCUUCAGAAUUUGGCCUGCUCUGUUUAAACGCCCAGCCAGGAGGUUAAGCAUAAUGCUUAAGCUCAUUUUGUACAAAUCAACACUCUUCCCUCAAAUCAGGUACAGUGCACAGCCAGGAUUUCAUAUUUGAUACAUUUCUGAAACCUUUAACCUAUUCAUAUAUUUAUAGAAUUGUGCAUCUGUAGAAUUUUGAAGUGUUUUUAAUGGUUUUAUUUUAGUUAAUAAAGUGAUCCUCAAAUAAGUACAAGUGCACGCACUUCCCAUGGCUGUGCUUUAUGUAGGUACCUAUGUACAUCCAUUUUUCCUUUCUUUCCUAUUUUUAAUUACAUGCUAAUCCAUCAGACCUGCAUUGCUCCAGAUACUCCUUUCUAUGGCCAUUCACACUUAACAUAUCCUGCCAAGAAUUAGAGAAAAAGUAAGGAUAAGAACAAAAUAGGUACUAAUUUAUUCACCUUUAUCUUAUGCCCUCCAAUCCUUUAGCUAGCACCUCCUUUGGCUGAAUCUAGCAGGAAGCCAGUUGACAGAGUAUCCUGAGAAACAUCACCUGCAGGGGUUUGACUUCCUGUGUUCCAGGGUGGAGUAGAGCUAGGAGGAGGCAUGUAUCUGAAGGUGGACCAACUCUGAACCAGCACGUAGCACUUAGUGCUUCACAUCAUGUUUGUUUAUGGAGACGUCUCCAUUCUUAGAAUGUGAGCUGCCUAGAAACAGAAACUGCAUCUUUUUCUGCUUUGUAUCCCCUGCUCCCUGCCCAUUGCUUUGAGUACAAAGCUAAUAGACAAUUUAAAUUUCAAAUUAUAACUGGAAUAGAUAAUUGCAGUUAACAUUUACUGCUGAUCAGUGGUUUUCAAAUUCAAGAUGGCGUCAGAACCACCUGGAGGAUUGGUUAAAAAUGAAGACUCCUUGGUGCCAAUCUGCUGGGUUCCUAAUUCAAAAUUUCAGUGGCUAAUCUUGGAACAAACCAGGCAUGGAGCUCCAACUGCAGAAGCUUCCUGCUUAGGGGAAUCAUCAGGCUGAACUCAAGAUAAUGCCAACCAGACUUCUGGAUGGGCAACUACCACAGACAGCCAUCAGAACGAAGACACACAGACCCUACAACCUGUACCACUCCUGUGUCUCCUGUACCAAAUUUCCCUUUAAAACCCUUAUGGUACAUUUAAAGAUUUAAAAUGUUACUUUAGAAUGUUUGUCUUCUUGGCUUACUGGCUUUCUGAUAAAAACUUGCUUUUCCUUGCUGCAACCCUCACUUCUCAUGUCUUUCUGUGAAGCAGUGAGCAAUCCAACCUAGGUUCAGUUAAAAAUUCAGUGCCCAAAUGUGGGGCUGCAUUUUGGGUGGUCUAUGAUGCCUGGUUUCCAAAGGAUGGAGCAAUUGUCUACAGCAGUGUGCCAGGGCUUACCCAUUUAUGCUACCAGGCAGAGCAACAGAUGCUCAUGAGUGCCAGCUACUCAUGGUUAGGUGACUUCAUGGCUGGAGCUCCAGAGACGUCUCAG